rnacentral:rRNA from 1 species
CCUACGGGAGGCAGCAGUAGGGAAUUUUCGGCAAUGGGGGGAACCCUGACCGAGCAACGCCGCGUGAACGAAGAAGUUAUUCGUAAUGUAAAGUUCUUUUAUCAGGGAAGAACGAGAAAUUUGACGGUACCUGCAGAAUAAGCUCCGGUUAACUACGUGCCAGCCGCCGCGGUAAUACGUAGGGAGCGAGCGUUAUCCGGAAUUAUUGGGCGUAAAGGGUGCGUAGAUGGCAUAGUAAGUCUUUUGUAAAAAGGCUGGGCUCAACCCAGUAGGGCAAAAGAUACUGCAAAGCUAGAGUAUGACAGAGGCAAGUGGAACUACAUGUGUAGCGGUAAAAUGCGUAAAUAUAUGUAAGAACACCAGUGGCGAAGGCGGCUUGCUGGGUCGAUACUGACAUUGAGGCACGAAAGCGUGGGGAGCAAACAGGAUUAGAUACCCGUGUAGUC